UCUCCCGUAGCACAACGGUAGUGCACGUGGUUGUUACCCAUAUGCAGAUGUUGGUUCGAAUCCAGCCGGGAGAGC
rnacentral:tRNA from 1 species